rnacentral:rRNA from 1 species
UUCUUUUAGUUUCAAUAAAAAGUAAAACCUGCCCACUGUAUUUAUGAAGGGCCGCGGUAUUCUGACCGUGCUAAGGUAGCAUAAUCAUUAGUCUCUUAAUUAGGGAAUGGAAUGAAUGGUUUAACAAAUAUUUAUUUUAUUAAAUUAAUUUACUAUAAAUUCUGGCUACAAUGAAAAUUUUGUUAGGCUUCAGUAAGACGAUAAGACCCUAUAGAGCUUAAUAUUUUAGUAUAUUUCAUAGUUUGGGGGAAUUAUGAGAUAUUUUAAAUUAUUUAGUUGGGGCAAUUGUAGAAUAAAACUAAUUUCUAUUAAAAAUAUUUAAAUUUAUUUUAAUCUUGUAGUACAAAAUUUAAUAAGUUACCUUAGGGAUAACAGCGUUAUAGGUUUUGAGAGUCCAUAUCGACAAAUCUUUUUGCGACCUCGAUGUUGAAUUAAGAAUCCUUUUUAGGGCAGGUCUUAACAAUAGGUAGUCUGUUCGACUAUAAAAUUCUU